AGGUGCGAUCAUACUAGCACUAAUGCACCGGAUUCCAUCAGAACUCCUUAGUUAAGCGUGCUUGGGCGAGAGUAGUACUAGGAUGGGUGACCUCCUGGGAAGUCCUCGUGUUGCAUUGU
rfam:Vigna angularis cultivar Jingnong 6 scaffold589_2, whole genome shotgun sequence.